rnacentral:rRNA from 1 species
GACGAACGCUGGCGGCGUGCUUAACACAUGCAAGUCGAACGGUGACCUGGGGUGCUUGCACCCUGGUGAUCAGUGGCGAACGGGUGAGUAACACGUGAGUAACCUGCCCCAGACUCUGGAAUAACCCCGGGAAACCGGAGCUAAUACCGGAUAUGACACCAACCUGCAUGGGUAUGGUGUGGAAAGUUUUUCGGUCUGGGAUGGACUCGCGGCCUAUCAGCUGGUUGGUGAGGUAAUGGCUCACCAAGGCGACGACGGGUAGCCGGCCUGAGAGGGCGACCGGCCACACUGGGAGUGAGACACUGCCCAGACUCCUACGGGAGGCAGCAGUGGGGAAUAUUGCACAAUGGGCGAAAGCCUGAUGCAGCGACGCCGCGUGAGGGAUGACGGCCUUCGGGUUGUAAACCUCUUUCAGCAGGGAAGAAGCGCAAGUGACGGUACCUGCAGAAGAAGCACCGGCUAACUACGUGCCAGCCGCCGCCGUAAAAC